UACAGAGGGUGCGAGCGUUGUCCGGAAUCACUGGGCAUAAAGGGCGCGUAGGCGGCUUGGUAAGUAGGGGGUGAAAUCUUGCGGCUCAACUGCAAGGCUGCCUCCUAAACUGUCAGGCUUGAGCACAGUAGAGGCAGGUGGAAUUCCCGGUGUAGCGGUGGAAUGCGUAGAGAUCGGGAAGAACAUCGGUGGCGAAGGCGGCCUGCUGGGCUGUUGCUGACGCUGAGGCGCGACAGCGUGGGGAGCAAACAGG
rnacentral:rRNA from 1 species